AAUCGCUUGUAUCAUCUGUUCCAAGAACAAUAAUAAGGUUUCGUCGUACAAUGUAAAUUAUCUACAGCUCACAUUUAACGUCCUGCAGAAUAUUUUACUUGUAACGAAGCACAAGAGAUGACAAAAUCAGAAAGAAAAUGCAAUUGCAUAGCAAGACAACAGUUUCUGUCUUUCACCAUUGUUCACAUCAUCGUCACAAUGUUAUUAUUUUCAACACUGACGUACGUGCUAAUACAAACUGUUGCAGAGCAGAAAAAAUUGAUUACAAAAGUUGAGAAAAUGUCGUUGAAGUAUGGCGAACUUAACGCAAAACAAGAUAUUCAUGACACAGCAACUGAAGUAUUAAAGAUAGUGGUAAGACAAGAAAGCCACGAAAGUACGAUAAAUCAAGAGGAAAUACUGAUCAAUGAUGAUUUAAACAAGGAAAAUAAACAAUUACUUAUGACAAGAUACAAACGAAGCAAGAAUUCUGGCUGCUGUGGUGUGGGACUAAAAGGAGCAAAAGGAGAUAAAGGUGCUCGAGGUCGGAGAGGCAGAAAAGGUGCAAGAGGAAAACCUGGGACUAAGGGAGAAAGGGGGGACAAAGGCGACACAGGUAUGAAAACAAUAACAAUUAAUCCUAUUUACAAUAAUUCAACAAUACAAUGUGUGGUUCGAUUGGUCAAAAUAUAAAAAAAUAAACUAUGAUUUUUGUAUUUGCACUAGUUUAUGAGACGCAAUUUGUAUCCAUACACUGCAUAAAAUAGUUUAGGAAUAAGUGCCAAUUACCGGAGAGAUGGCCCGUCGACAUAACAUUCGGAAUCAAAAGAUAUUUUAAUGUACAAAUGUAGAACUGAACGUUUUAAAAAUAGCUUCAUUCUACGAUUAUUUAACAACUAAGAACUACAUAUCUACAUAAAAACUAACAUUAACAUACAUAAAGACUACUGUCCAAUGUUUCAAACCGAAACUCAAAAAAAGGUCAGAUUACAUUUCAUCAGAUAAUUCGAACAGGACAAAAUGGACUUAAUGGAUCUCCUGGAGCACCAGGAUAUACGGGACGACCUGGAAAUAAUGGACAGAAAGGUAACAAAGGAGACGUGGAAACGAGGCUUUCACAUUCAGCACACAUUGUUGGAGAUGGACGUGAGGCAAAAUCAACACUUAUAGUUGGACAAGGAAACGACAGAGCCUUUCUAUUGACAUAUUGGACAAUUGGGCACAACAGAGGACAAAUGAACUACAAUAAUGGAUAUUUAAACAUUGCUGUUCGUGGUUUUUACUACAUUUAUGCGCAAUUGUUUUCUAAGGAUGGUACUGCUGUAACAUUUUCUUUAUAUAUUGAUGAUAAAGUGAUACUAAAAUCAUACCACAUAAAACGAUCGUUUAUAGCUGGUGUAUUUUAUGUCGCAACUAAUCAAAGAAUAAGCGUACGUACAAAGUCCAGUAAAUAUUUCAAAUAUAGUAGUACAGAUACAUUCUUUGGAGCAUUUAUCAUACAUCCUUAAAAAGUUAUACUAUAUGUGUAUAAGAACUUGUAAAUAACUCGUAAGCUACUCCUCUUCAACUUGUAAGUUCUCAAAAUGAUAAUUUUUAUCACAUAUUUAAAUUAUCAUCAAUGUACAAUUAAAAUAUAAAUUUCAUUUUAUCAUUUCACAGUUUUACUGUAAUACAAUAUCACAAAUGAA